rnacentral:rRNA from 1 species
GACGAACGCUGGCGGCGUGCCUAAUACAUGCAAGUAGAACGCUUAAGAGAGGAGCUUGCUCUUCUUGGAUGAGUUGCGAACGGGUGAGUAACGCGUAGGUAACCUGCCUUGUAGCGGGGGAUAACUAUUGGAAACGAUAGCUAAUACCGCAUAAAAUUGAUUAUUGCAUGAUAAUUAAUUGAAAGAUGCAACUGCAUCACUACCAGAUGGACCUGCGUUGUAUUAGCUAGUUGGUGAGGUAACGGCUCACCAAGGCGACGGUACAUGGCCGACCUGAGAGGGUGAACGGGGAAACUGGGAAUGGGACAAGGCCCAGACUCCUAAGGGAGGCAGCAGGAGGGAAUCAUCGGCAAUGGGGGGAACGCUGACAGAGCAAAGCCGCGGGAGGGAAGAAAGGUUUCGGAACGUAAAGGUAUGUUGUAAGAGAAGAACGGGCGGGAGAGUGGAAAGUUCACACUGUGACGGUAUCUUACCAGAAAGGGACGGCUAACUACGUG